rnacentral:rRNA from 1 species
UACGGGGGGAGCAAGCGUUGUUCGGAUUUACUGGGCGUAAAGGGCGCGUAGGCGGCGUGACAAGUCACUUGUGAAAUCUCCGGGCUUAACUCGGAGCGGCCAAGUGAUACUGUCGUGCUAGAGUGCGGAAGGGGCUACUGGAAUUCUCGGUGUAGCGGUGAAAUGCGUAGAUAUCUGGAGGAACACCGGUGGCGAAGGCGGCAUCCUGGACCGGCAUUGACGCUGAGGAGCGAAAGCCAGGGGAGCAAAGCGGG